AUUAGACGAAUCAUCUGGAAAGAUGAAUCAAAGAAGGUAAUAAUCCUGUAGUCGAAAAUGUUGUCUCUCUUGAGUGGAUCCUGAGUACGACGGAGCACGUGAAAUUCCGUCGGAAUCUGGGAGGACCAUCUCCUAAGGCUAAAUACUCUCUAGUGACCGAUAGUGAACCAGUACCGUGAGGGAAAGGUGAAAAGCACCCCGGAAGGGGAGUGAAAUAGAACCUGAAACCGUGUGCUUACAAGUAGUCAGAGCCCGUUAAUGGGUGAUGGCGUGCCUUUUGUAGAAUGAACCGGCGAGUUACGAUUUGAUGCAAGGUUAAGCAGUAAAUGUGGAGCCGUAGCGAAAGCGAGUCUGAAUAGGGCGUUUAGUAUUUGGUCGUAGACCCGAAACCAGGUGAUCUACCCUUGGUCAGGUUGAAGUUCAGGUAACACUGAAUGGAGGACCGAACCGACUUACGUUGAAAAGUGAGCGGAUGAACUGAGGGUAGCGGAGAAAUUCCAAUCGAACCUGGAGAUAGCUGGUUCUCUCCGAAAUAGCUUUAGGGCUAGCCUCAAGUGAUGAUUAUUGGAGGUAGAGCA
rnacentral:rRNA from 1 species